ACAAUGGGGGCAACCCUGAUUCAGCAAUGCCGCGUGUGUGAAGAAGGCCUGCGGGUUGUAAAGCACUUUCAGUAGAGAAGAAAUGCCCGGGGUUAAUAACCACGGGUCUUGACGUAACCUACAGAAGAAGCACCGGCUAACUCCGUGCCAGCAGCCGCGGUAAUACGGAGGGUGCGAGCGUUAAUCGGAAUUACUGGGCGUAAAGCGCGCGUAGGCGGCCUGAUCAGUCGGAUGUGAAAGCCCUGGGCUCAACCUGGGAAUUGCAUUCGAAACUGUCAGGCUAGAGUAUGGGAGAGGGAAGUGGAAUUUCCGGUGUAGCGGUGAAAUGCGUAGAUAUCGGAAGGAACACCAGUGGCGAAGGCGACUUCCUGGCCCAAUACUGACGCUCAGGUGCGAAAGCGUGGGUAGCGAACAGGAUUAGAGACCCUGGUAGUCCACGCCGUAAACGAUGAGAACUAGACGUUGGAGAGUUUACUCUUUGGUGUCGAAGCUAACGCGUUAAGUUCUCCGCCUGGGGAGUACGGCCGCAAGGCUAAAACUCAAAGGAAUUGACGGGGGCCCGCACAAGCGGUGGAGCAUGUGGUUUAAUUCGAUGCAACGCGAAGAACCUUACCUACUCUUGACAUCCUUGGAAUCCUUUAGAGAUAGAGGAGUGCCUUAGGGAACCAAGUGACAGGUGCUGCAUGGCUGUCGUCAGCU
rnacentral:rRNA from 1 species